rnacentral:lncRNA from 1 species
CGGAAUGUAGGUGAAAAUCUAAAUGCAAACGUUUAUAUGAUCAGUAUAUAGCAAUAACUACCUACACCAAGUAAGAGGACAGAAGACUGGGUAAGCUUUUAGAUGUUUGUGUUUUAGGAAGAGAAAAAAAGAGGCGAGCGAGGGGAUUGAUUUCGUAUUUCUCUUGAAAACCGAACAUUCCGAUGGGAUCGUGCUUGUAUCCCUCGAAUCUGCG